rnacentral:tRNA from 1 species
GGUAGUGUAGCUCAGGGAUAGAGUGCCUGCUUCUCAAGUGUGAGGCACUGAGUUCAAUCCCCUGCACCUCCA